UGGGGAAUAUUGCACAAUGGGGGAAACCCUGAUGCAGCGACGCCGCGUGGAGGAAGAAGGUCUUCGGAUUGUAAACUCCUGUUGUUGGGGAAGAUAAUGACGGUACCCAACAAGGAAGUGACGGCUAACUACGUGCCAGCAGCCGCGGUAAAACGUAGGUCACAAGCGUUGUCCGGAAUUACUGGGUGUAAAGGGAGCGCAGGCGGGAAGACAAGUUGGAAGUGAAAUCUAUGGGCUCAACCCAUAAACUGCUUUCAAAACUGUUUUUCUUGAGUAGUGCAGAGGUAGGCGGAAUUCCCGGUGUAGCGGUGGAAUGCGUAGAUAUCGGGAGGAACACCAGUGGCGAAGGCGGCCUACUGGGCACCAACUGACGCUGAGGCUCGAAAGUGUGGGUAGCAAACAGGAUUAGAUACCCUGGUAGUCCACACCGUAAACGAUGAUUACUAGGUGUUGGAGGAUUGACCCCUUCAGUGCCGCAGUUAACACAAUAAGUAAUCCACCUGGGGAGUACGACCGCAAGGUUGAAACUCAAAGGAAUUGACGGGGGCCCGCACAAGCAGUGGAGUAUGUGGUUUAAUUCGACGCAACGCGAAGAACCUUACCAAGUCUUGACAUCCUGCGACGAUGCUGGAAACAGCAUUUUCCUUCGGGACGCAGAGACAGGUGGUGCAUGGUUGUCGUCAGCUCGUGUCGUGAGAUGUUGGGUUAAGUCCCGCAACGAGCGCAACCCUUACUGUCAGUUACUACGCAAGAGGACUCUGGCAGGACUGCCGUUGACAAAACGGAGGAAGGUGGGGAUGACGUCAAAUCAUCAUGCCCUUUAUGACUUGGGCUACACACGUACUACAAUGGCGUUAAACAAAGAGAAGCAAGACCGCGAGGUGGAGCAAAACUCAGAAACAACGUCCCAGUUCGGACUGCAGGCUGCAACUCGCCUGCACGAAGUCGGAAUUGCUAGUAAUCGUGGAUCAGCAUGCCACGGUGAAUACGUUCCC
rnacentral:rRNA from 1 species